rnacentral:misc_RNA from 1 species
AACGCACCUUGCACUCUUUGGUAUUCCGAAGAGUAUGUCUGUUUGAGUGUCAUGAAACUUUCAACCCCCCUGUUUUGUAAUGAGAUGGGCGUAGGCUUGGUUUAUGGUUGUCUGUCGGCGUAAGUCGGCUCAACUGAAAUAUACGAGCAACCCUUUUAAAAUAGACGGCUUGACUCGGCGUAAUAAUUAUUUCGCUGAGGACGUCUUCUUUAAAGUCAGUGGUGCUACUAACGCUACGCCUUCGGGUGUAACUUUCAAUUUAGACCUCAAAUCAGAUAGGACUACCCGCUGAACUUAA